rnacentral:rRNA from 1 species
UACGUAGGGUGCGAGCGUUAAUCGGAAUUACUGGGCGUAAAGCGUGCGCAGGCGGUUUUGUAAGCCAGAUGUGAAAUCCCCGGGCUUAACCUGGGAAUGGCAUUUGGGACUGCAAGGCUCGAGUGCGGCAGAGGAGACUGGAAUUCCUGGUGUAGCAGUGAAAUGCGUAGAUAUCAGGAGGAACACCGAUGGCGAAGGCAGGUCUCUGGGCUGACACUGACGCUCAUGCACGAAAGCUAGGGGAGCAAACAGG